GACAGAGGGUGCAAACGUUGUUCGGAAUUACUGGGCGUAAAGCGCGUGUAGGCGGCUCUGCAAGUCGGAUGUGAAAUCCCACGGCUCAACCAUGGAAGUGCAUUCGAAACUGCAGGGCUAGAGUUCUGGAGAGGAAGGUGGAAUGCUUGGUGUAGAGGUGAAAUUCGUAGAUAUCAAGCGGAACACCGGAUGGCGGAAGG
rnacentral:rRNA from 1 species